rnacentral:tRNA from 1 species
GCCCGGGUGGCGGAACUGGCAUACGCAGAGGGCUUAAACCCCUCGGGCCGCAAGGCCGUGCGGGUUCGAAUCCCGCCCCGGGCA